CGACGCCAUAUUGCUGCUGCUGUGGUUCAAAAAAGGACUAACUACUCCUAUUUACAGGUACGACGACCGUUCAGGUUCAAGCCGACGCACUUCUCACUGGUCGGCUGAAGAUGCGCUGGGAGCGAGAGCCUCUUUAGAGGUACUGAGCCUGCCUGCUCAGUUAGUUGUGAAGUCUUUACGAGAAGACGAUGCUGGGCUCUACCACUGCAGGGUAGACUUCAGAAAACAGCCCACGAAAACUACACGAGUUGUGCUCAGUGUUGUCGUGCCCCCGACGAGCGUUGUCGUGUACGAAGGCUCGUCACUGCC